CCUACGGGAGGCAGCAGCGAGGAAUAUUGGUCAAUGGACGGAAGUCUGAACCAGCCAAGUAGCGUGCAGGAUGACGGCCCUAUGGGUUGUAAACUGCUUUUGUAUGGGGAUAAAGUUAGGGACGUGUCCCUAUUUGCAGGUACCAUACGAAUAAGGACCGGCUAAUUCCGUGCCUGCAGCCGCGGUAAUACGGAAGGUCCAGGCGUUAUCCGGAUUUAUUGGGUUUAAAGGGAGCGUAGGCUGGAGAUUAAGUGUGUUGUGAAAUGUAGACGCUCAACGUCUGAAUUGCAGCGCAUACUGGUUUCCUUGAGUACGCACAACGUUGGCGGAAUUCGUCGUGUAGCGGUGAAAUGCUUAGAUAUGACGAAGAACUCCGAUUGCGAAGGCAGCUGACGGGAGCGCAACUGACGCUUAAGCUCGAAGGUGCGGGUAUCAAACAGGAUUAGAUACCCUGGUAGUCCGCACAGUAAACGAUGGAUGCCCGCUGUUGGUACCUGGUAUCAGCGGCUAAGCGAAAGCAUUAAGCAUCCCACCUGGGGAGUACGCCGGCAACGGUGAAACUCAAAGGAAUUGACGG
rnacentral:rRNA from 1 species